rnacentral:lncRNA from 1 species
CUGGCUUUGAAGAAAGCAGGCUAGAGAUUUAUUCCCUUUUUAAGUAUCUCCUCCUACACUGUUGUACCUUUUUCUGUGUUAAAACUUUUUACCAGGAAGACCCUGGCUUUGACAAUGAUCUGUCAGUCCUCCAAGAUAAAAGAACAAUUGCCGAAGACUUUACUGAAGAGCGUAGUAUAAAGCCUGAAAAGAAUUGUCCACUUUUAAGCUGACCUACAUUUAAUUAUAUGAACUAGAACAGUACUUUGCAUUGCUGUUUGCACUGGAUGCCAAACUAAUGAUUGUAGAGUUCAGAGGUUAUGCAGCAGCAUCUAACCUUACUGUUUUGGCUAGUGAUGGUUUGCUGUAGGAACAUCUGGCUUUUAUAUUUAACAGCAGAGAAUCCAAAGAGAAAGGGGAAAAAAAAAAC